UACAGAGGUCUCAAGCGUUGUUCGGAUUCAUUGGGCGUAAAGGGUGCGUAGGCGGCGCGGUAAGUCGGGUGUGAAAUCUCGGAGCUUAACUCCGAAACUGCAUUCGAUACUGCCGUGCUUGAGGACUGGAGAGGAGACUGGAAUUUACGGUGUAGCGGUGAAAUGCGUAGAUAUCGUAAAGAAGACCAGUGGCGAAGGCGGGUCUCUGGACAGUUCCUGACGCUGAGGCACGAAGGCCAGGGGAGCAAACGGG
rnacentral:rRNA from 1 species